UACGGAGGGGGCUAGCGUUGUUCGGAUUUACUGGGCGUAAAGCGCACGUAGGCGGCUUUCCAAGUCGGGCGUGAAAGGCCUGGGCUCAACCCGGGACACGCGCUCGAGACUGGGAGGCUAGAGGACGGGAGAGGGCAGCGGAAUUCCCAGUGUAGAGGUGAAAUUCGUAGAUAUUGGGAAGAACACCGGCGGCGAAGGCGGCUGUCUGGCCCGUGACUGACGCUGAGGUGCGAAAGCGUGGGGAGCAAACAGG
rnacentral:rRNA from 1 species